rnacentral:rRNA from 1 species
GGAAUUUUGGGCAAUGGGCGAAAGCCUGACCCAGCAACGCCGCGUGAAGGAUGAAGUAUUUCGGUAUGUAAAUUUCGAAAGAAUGGGAAGAAUAAAUGACGGUACCAUUUAUAAGGUCUGGCUAACUACGUGCAAGCAGCCGCGGAACUACGUAGGGAACAAGCGUUGUUCGGAUUUACUGGGCGUAAAGGGCGCGUAGGCGGCAUGUUAAGUCAGCUGUGAAAUCUCCGAGCUUAACUCGGAACGGUCAGCUGAUACUGAUGUGCUAGAGUGCAGAAGGGGCAAUCGGAAUUCUUGGUGUAGCGGUGAAAUGCGUAGAUAUCAAGAGGAACACCUGAGGUGAAGACGGGUUGCUGGGCUGACACUGACGCUGAGGCGCGAAAGCCAGGGGAGCAAAC